rnacentral:tRNA from 1 species
UUUAUGUAGCUCAGUGUUAGAGUGCUUGCCACACAUGCAUGAGGCACUGGGUUCGAUCCUCAGCACCACAUAAAA